rnacentral:rRNA from 1 species
CCUACGGGUGGCUGCAGUGAGGAAUAUUGGUCAAUGGGCGAGAGCCUGAACCAGCCAAGUCGCGUGAGGGAAGACGGUCCUAUGGAUUGUAAACCUCUUUUGUCGGGGAGCAAAAAGGCCUCGUGAGGCCACAAGUGAGAGUACCCGAAGAAAAAGCAUCGGCUAACUCCGUGCCAGCAGCCGCGGUAAUACGGAGGAUGCGAGCGUUAUCCGGAUUUGUUGGGUUUAAAGGGUGCGUAGGCGGACUGGAAAGUCAGCGGUAAAAUCGAGAGGCUCAACCUCUUUCCGCCGUUGAAAUGGUGGGUAUUGAGGGGGCGAGAGGUAAGCGGAAUGAGUGGGGUAGCGGUGAAAGGCAGAGAUAUCACGCAGAACUCCGAUGGCGAAGGCGGCAGACCGGCGCCCGACUGACGCUGAGGCACGAAAGCGUGGGUAUCGAACAGGAUUAGAUACCCGGGUAGUC